rnacentral:lncRNA from 1 species
AAUUCACAAAAUAAUUUAUUUUUAAUAAUUUGUCAUUUUUGAAAAUUUCCUGUUGUAGAGAAGACUAUUCCCCAAGAAGAAUGAGUGUCUGCAAUUAUUUAAAGCCAUUUCUGUUCCAAAUGUGGUAGUACUCAGAAUAGAGUUUGCAUGAGACCUGAGGCCCAUCACAGAGAAACUCCCACUAACCUAUCAGUGAUGAGGAGGUAAAGUGGCUCCUCUGGAGGACACAAAUUCUACCAAAGCCAGCAAAAUUGCCAUCAGGAAGGUGCAGCCUUACAGCUAGUUACUCCGGUCACUAGGGAUGUGACUUUCUGUGGUGUGUAAGGAAGAUUCUCUUCUCCCUUGUUGCAGGAUGACACAGCAGAACUUCUCAGGUAAUUCUGCUUUGCUUGAGUACUGGUGAUGUCAUGGUG